UCUGCUUUUAAUACUUUUUAUACCACCUAGUUAUUUAAGUUAAACAUUCAAAUUAAUAAGUUCUGAAUGUGGCCAUUUUUAAAGUAUUAGAUGGCUGCUAUUUGUUCUUCAAAGUGCUGCCACAUGUUUGCAUAAGCUCAUCUCUCUGCUUAUUAUUUGGUUUUGCCUUUGAGAUUCAAUUUUAGAGACUUGUGUCUACAUGGCUCCCUCGGUACCCAAGACAUUUUUGUUACUUUUAUGGCUCAUGUUUUAACAUUGUUUAAUCAUUAACACAAAAGAAAUUGAUCUGAAUAUUCAAAACUUAUGUUUGAAUACUAUUUGGCAACUUUCUGACCAAGUAUUGAAAUCAUAACUUUGUGGCAGAUAAAGCUCUAUCUGAAGAAGUUGAAAGGCUCCAAAAGUUUCAUCAAGAGAGAAUUUCUUCAUGCUCGAAGGAUGACAAAAAGGAUAGCAUGCAGCUGAAUACUCCUAAAAAUGCUCAAACUGCACCUGAAAAGUUGUCUGCUGGCUCCUCCAAAAGAAUAACAAGAAAGCGUAGCAGGGAAAUUAGAACUGAGGGAGAAGGUAUAGUUAUGCCUAGUUGCAGUGGCCAAGAUGAUUCCAUUGCUGGAGAAUCGGCAAAGGAUUUAUCAAAAGAAACUAUGUCCUGUCGAGCUUUCGUAUAUGGCCAGCUGGUAUGCUUAUAGCCCUUGCCUUCUGUGCUGAAAUAAUUAGUUUCUUCUCUGACUAUUUUAUUGCAAUUUCCAACCUGAAUGCUGCAAAAGACCUAUCAACAAAUCAGGUGAUGUAAAUAACAGCAGUUCUCCUAACAGUCUGUUUCAGCUCUCGUUGAGUACUUACUCGGCAUGAAAUUAUCUACACUUUCUCAAACUGGUGGAAUGUGCAUUUCAGCUCUGCAUCAAUCAAGUGGUUACUCAUUCAGUCUAACAUGGGCAGAAAAUGCAGCCGGGAAGGAAUCAGAGCUACUCUACCGUGUAGCAUCUCUCAGAACAUUUAAGAGAGUAGCUCCGGAGUGGAUCAGGAAGGUCCUAGUGUUCAGUACGAGCAUGUAUCCGAUAUUUUUCGAGAGGAUAGCGAAUGUGAUCAAGUUACAUCAAUAACAGCCCUCCCUUUCUGAAUGUGAUCAAGCCAAGAUUUAUCACUGUUUCCAACUCUGGAAGUUCUGCAAAAUCUUAGGCUCUUGUAUAUUUCGUUUUAGCCGGUAAUGUUGAAACCUUCCUUUUUCCUCUUGCUCUAGCAUGAUUUCAUAUGUGCAAUUAUUCUGUAAAAUUAGUUUGUGGUAUGCUGUACCUGUAUGCAUACAACUAUGAGACUUGAAGUUUAGUUUUUUUAAAUAUUUUGAUAAUUUAGUUUAAGAUUAACACAUUUACAUCCCAACUUUGCAAUUUGCAAGAAAUAUAAUUCUGUCCUUGUUAAUGAACAAAGUUACUAUUUUCUA